GACGAACGCUGGCGGCGCGCUUAACACAUGCAAGUCGAGCGGUAAGGCCCCUUCGGGGUACGACGAGCGGCGAACGGGUGAGUAACACGUGGGUGACCUGCCCUCAGCUCUGGGAUAAGCCUGGGAAACUGGGUCUAAUACCGGAUAUGACUCCAUGACGCAUGUCGUGGGGUGGAAAGCCUUGUGCGGCUGGGGAUGGGCCCGCGGCCUAUCAGCUUGUUGGUGGGGUGANGGCCUACCAAGGCGACGACGGGUAGCCGGCCUGAGAGGGCGACCGGCCACACUGGGACUGAGACACGGCCCAGACUCCUACGGGAGGCAGCAGUGGGGAAUCUUGCGCAAUGGGCGAAAGCCUGACGCAGCGACGCCGCGUGAGGGAUGACGGCCU
rnacentral:rRNA from 1 species